CGCGUAGGUGGUUCGUUAAGUUGGAUGUGAAAGCCCCGGGCUCAACCUGGGAACUGCAUCCAAAACUGGCGAGCUAGAGUAUGGUAGAGGGUGGUGGAAUUUCCUGUGUAGCGGUGAAAUGCGUAGAUAUAGGAAGGAACACCAGUGGCGAAGGCGACCACCUGGACGAAGACUGACGCUCAGGUGCGAAAGCGUGGGGAGCAAACAGGAUUAGAUACCCCCGUA
rnacentral:rRNA from 1 species